CGGGUAACGGGGAAUCAGGGUUCGAUUCCGGAGAGGGAGCAUGAGAAAUGGCUACCACAUCUACGGAAGGCAGUAGGCGCGCAAAUUACCCACUCCUAGAUCGGGGAGGUAGUGACGAAAAAUAACAAUACCGGACUCUUAGAGGCUCGGUAAUUGAAAUGAGUACAGUUUAAAACCCUUAACGAGGAUCUAUUGGAGGGCAAGUCUGGUGCCAGCAGCCGCGGUAAUUCCAGCUCCAAUAGCGUAUAUUAAAGUUGUUGCAGUUAAAAAGCUCGUAGUUGGAUCUCGGGUGCCAGCGUAUGGUUCGCUUUACUGCUGUAACUAUACGUCUGGUCCUAAUUAAUCGGUUGGCCAAUUAUGUCCUUUAUUGGGUGUUUUUGGUAGCCGGUACGUUUACUUUGAGAAAAUUAGAGUGCUUAAAGCAGGCCUUACGCCUGAAUAAUGUUGCAUGGAAUAAUAGAAUAGGACCUCGGUUCUAUUUUGUUGGUUUUGUAGAGCAUUGAGGUAAUGAUUAAUAGGGACAGACGGGGGCAUUCGUAUUGCGGUGUUAGAGGUGAAAUUCUUGGAUCGCCGCAAGACGAACAACUGCGAAAGCAUUUGCCA
rnacentral:rRNA from 1 species